GAGUUUGCAAUAUGGAGCAUGACUGAUCCUCGAGCCAACUCUGCUCUAACUGUCGACUAGCAGUGGGAGUCAGUUUGCCCCCUAGUGGAUAGCUAAAGAUUUGCUAACUCAUAUUUAUAAAUCUUCAAGGGAAUGUUUCU